rnacentral:rRNA from 1 species
AUGAACGCUAGCGGCAGGCUUAAUACAUGCAAGUCGUGGGGCAGCAUGAGUAGCAAUACUCGAUGGCGACCGGCAAACGGGUGAGGAACACGUACACAACCUUCCUUCAAGCGGGGAAUAGCCCAGAGAAAUUUGGAUUAAUACCCCAUAAUAUAUUUGAUAAGGCAUCUUAUUAAUAUUAAAGCUUCGGCACUUGAUGAUGGGUGUGCGGCUGAUUAGAUAGUUGGCGGGGUAACGGCCCACCAAGUCUACGAUCAGUAGCUGAUGUGAGAGCAUGAUCAGCCACACGGGCACUGAGACACGGGUCCGACUCCUACGGGAGGCAGCAGUAAGGAAUAUUGGACAAUGGACGAAAGUCUGAUCCAGCCAUGCCGCGUGAAGGAUUAAGGUCCUCUGGAUUGUAAACUUCUUUUAUAUGGGACGAAAAAAGGGCAUUCUUGUUCACUUGACGGUACCAUAUGAAUAAGCACCGGCUAACUCCGUG